CCUAAUAAAUGGACAAAGCAUUUACUGGCUGUAAGAUCUUUAGAGAGUGUGCUAUUGAGGGAAUGAAAAUUGUCACUAGUACAAAAGGGUCUAAUUUUGCUGGUCUAGUAAAUAACAUUCAAGUGCUUACUGAGCAUUCAGCUCUAUAUGGUGGAAAAUGUCAGAAAAUACUGAUACAAAGAAAUAUUUUGCAAUAUGAAUAAAACUGUAAUAAUCGUUAUUAAUAAUCCCCGUUUCGUAGAGGAAUUGGGGGAAUAUGGUGGUAGUGGGGAAGGAAGAAAAGGAGAGGAAGCGAUGUAGAUUCUAAAACUUUCUAAACUAUGACACACUUGCAUCUUUUAUGCUUUUUGAUAGGUGGAUCACAUGAUAUAGCUCCUGUUUUUGUUUUGAAUUUUUACUUCUGUACUUGUAGUAUCACCUAAAACUUGUAGAAGUCAGAACAGAACAGACUGGUGGCACUGUUCCAUUUAUCGAUAGCAUCUGACCUAGGGAUGUCAGUGGGGCGGGUUUUGCGGGAGAUCCGCCCCGCAUCCGCCCCAAGUAGGCGGGGAUGGAGGUAGGUUUGGCGGGUGAUGGGGCGGGGAUGGGUAUAAAAAUCGUACCCGCCAUGGGUGAUGGGGCGGGUGUGGAUUUUGUGUUGAACCCGCCCCAUCCCCGCCCGCCCCGCCCCGCCCCAUCCCCAUUCUCCCCGCCCCAUCCCCACUCGCCCCGCUUCAUACCCGCAAUGGGUGAUGGGGUGAAUUUGGAUUUAUUUGCAUCUUUAGGUGAUAAUAUAAAUUUAGGUGAGAUUUUUAUAUUUUUUGUUUGGAUUUUUUUUGUUAUGACGAGUAUUUUUUUCGAUUAUAUAAGUUACUUUAGUCAUAAGGUAUUUUUUUUCUAUAGUUAACUUUGAUUACUCCGUAUAUAUGGCAAAUGUUUGCUAAAUAAGAAAAAUUAGGCGGGUAUUAGCGCGGGUAUGAAGCGGGGAUAAGACGGGGAUGGAUACCCAGUUGGGUGGCGGGGCGGGGAUGGAUUUUAGCUUACACCCGUUGGGGCGGGGAUGGGGAUGAACUUUGUACCCGCCAUGGGUGAUGGGGCGAGGAUGGGGAUGGAGGGACCUACAUCCGCAUCCGCCCCGCCCCAUUGACAUCCCUAAUCUGACCGAAAUGUUUUCCAGCUUGACUUGGUUCUGGAUUCUAUGCUUUCAAUGCUUUUUCAAUGCUUUUUGACAGGUGGAAAUUGAAAAUCCUCAAGUAUUCCGAACAAAGCUGGUUCUGGAUUCUAUUCCCUACUGGAAAAUAAGUUAGACUCUGAUUUUCGGCUUCUAGAAGUGGUGUAGAUGCUCGAGCAAAGUGUUUCUCUUCUUUUCCGCUGAAUGUGAAUCUCUAUCAAGUGAACCACCAAACAAAAGCAAGAAUUUGAAUUUCACAUUGCAGACAGGAAAUGAACCCAGAAUCGUGAGAACCCAUUCCAGUUUCAGGACUUUCCGAGGCACGGCACUCGGCAGACACACUUUGGGAGUCCUUUCUAAUCUUCACAAGCAGUGGAGCCUUGGCAAAGUAACUACUGCAUACUUUUGAUUAAGUGCUAGAAUGUUUAGUACACAUAAUUAUAGAUGAGAUUAUGUAGCAUUUAUAUAAACUUUGUUAAAUUGACAAUAUUCUUGCCACUUGUUAGAGGUGUUAUCUUUGAUGAGCUGGCUGGUUAGCUGGUCCCACUGAUUGAUUAGUUACAUUCUAAUUGGACACAAGCAGCUUAAUCAAGUAUUAUGUUUCUACUCUUAAAUUA